rnacentral:lncRNA from 1 species
CGUUAGUGCGCGUGCUCAGGCGCGCCCUCUUCUUUCUCCCCAAAAACUCGUGGGACAGGCGGGACAGCCGUCGAGCUGGUCUCAGCAGAACCAUGAUCUGCCUUUUCUUAAGCCUGUUCGCCUACAUGUUUAAAACAGACACAUCACACUAUUCAGAUCAGAUCAUCAAUAAUACCGCCUCCUGCUGACGUCCAACCAUCUGCGUAUCAGAGACGCACUGAUACUGCUGCAGCUCAGCCAAUCAGCUCUCCCUCCUGCCCUGCUUCUAAACCCAUACAUCACCCAGUUCCGUUCCUAAAAUUCCCCUCCCAUUUUUUAGCCUUUUUUAAAAGGUGGACUCAGCAAAAAUCAGGGGGUUUAGUGCCUAUUUAAACCUCCCAUCUCUUUGUUGUUCCAUGUUGCACCAUGUUCCAGAGAAACAUAAUUUCCUUGCACUGUGUACCUGUACUUAGAUGUAAUGACAUUGAAAGCUAUUUGAUUUAACUUGACUUGAAAGAAUCAGAUUAAUUUCAUGUAUCUUUUUUUUUUCUUUAAUAUUUGCAGUUCAGCUUAAAAGAAUCGGUUCAGUAAUGUGAUUCUAAGGUCACAACUGCUAAAAUUAUACCAUGAUAUUAGCAUGUUUGUGUCUUGUAUAGAAAAGUGAUGCAAGCUUGACUUGAUUGAAAAUUAACUACAUUUAUAAACGUUUUUUUUUCUUUGAAAUAGUGUGAAUGUUUUGAUUUUUUAAGGAAUAUUAAGGAAACUAAUGCCUUAAACUUAUUUCAUAUUACUCUCAUUGUGUUUUGUUUUUAUUAAAGAAUCGGUUCGUUGAACUUUAGUAUAACUUACCAAAUCUUACAAAAAAUCAGUUUGAAGGAAUCGGUUUGUUUGUGUGAAUCGAAUUGUAAUCGCUGUAGUUCAGUUUGAAAGAAUCGGUUCAUCUAUCUUGAUUCGAGCUCCUCAUCAAUCGCCUCUGCCUGUUUCUGUGUAAACCCUAUUAUUAGCGCCGUUUUUCUGAUUGGUUGCCGAGUGUUCAUCCCCCGGCGUUCCCUCACCUGAUUGGUUGGUCUGUGUGUCGGACUGAACGCGCGAGGCGGCUGCACGCAGCAUGGGCUCCAAAAGGUCACUUACAGACUCUGCAGAUAUUCUGGAUUUAGGUGCGAAAAUCGCCCGAAUAACUGAAUCAGGUACAGCAGAAAGGAGGCGUUUAAUUUCUGAGUAGUUUAACGUUAAUGAAUAACCUAACCGUACCGAGUUUCACUGGCUGAGAUUCCCGGUUCAGGGCGGGUCUUGCUGUUGUUAUGAAGCCAUCUGUUCAGCGGGUCUCUGAGCCUCAGUGUAAUAGGUUUAUAGUUUGGUAUUAGCUUAUUAAGAGUGUUGACUGCUUUGCCUAAGGUCCGUUUAAACGUGUCUGUAUACAGCAUGCAGUCCUGUAUUUAUGGAAACCUGAAAAAUAUAAGGAUUCAAAAAUUCAUAAUUAAAUUUGAGAAUGUUUAAAGUCAGAUUAGUGCAAUCUUUAUUAUUAAUAAAUGGAUUUCUGGACAGUGGAAUGGCUGAUUU